AGUGCAGUGACAUGAUCUCAGCUCAUUGCAGCCUCAACCUCCGAGGCUCAAGCGAUCCUCCUGCCUCAGCCUCCUGAGUAGCUGUAGUACUGAGCUGUAGUACUGAGCCUCCUGAGUAGCUGAGUAGCUGAGUAGGAUACAGACGGUGACUCAAUCUGCCCAGGCUGGAGUGCAGUGACCUGAACACAGCUCACCGAAGCCUUGACUUCCCGGGUUCAAGCAGUUCUCCUGCCUCAGCCUCCCAAGGAGCUGGGACCGUAUGCCACCACAUCUGGUUAAUUGUGUUUUAUUUUUUGUAGAGAGAGGUCUCACUAUGUUGUCAAGGCUGAUGUCGAACUCCUGAGCUCAAGUGAUCCUCCUGCCUCAGCCUCCCAAAGUGCUGGGAUUACAGACAUGAGACACAGCACCCGACUCACACACUUUUAAAUUUUGUUCUCCGCCUGAUAUUUAGCUUUACAGCAUAGAAGAAAUGGUUUAACCCCCUUAGCGACAUGGCAGCUCUAUGUCCUUUAUUGUUCUACUUACUACUAAAGGUCUUUGGGUUUCUGUU